rnacentral:rRNA from 1 species
AGAACGAACGCUGGCGGCAGGCCUCAAACAUGCAAGUCUAGGGGGUGUAGCAAUACAUCACCGGCGGACGGGUGCGUAACGCGUGGGAAUGUACCUAUUGGUUCGGAACAACUGAGGGAAACUUCAGCUAAUACCGGAUGAGCCCGAAAGGGGAAAGAUUUCUCGCCAAUAGAUCAGCCCGCGUCCGAUUAGCUAGUUGGUGGGGUUAAAGCCUACCAAGGCGACGAUCGGUAGCUGUUCUGAGAGGAAGAUCAGCCACACUGGGACUGAGACACGGCCCAGACUCCUACGGGAGGCAGCAGUUGGGAAUCUUGGACAAUGGGGGAAACCCUGAUCCAGCCAUGCCGCGUGAGUGAUGAAGGCCUUCGGGUUGUAAAACUCUUUCGACGGGGACGAUAAUGACGGUACCCGUAGAGAAGCUCCGGCUAACUUCGUGCCAGCAGCCGC